GCGUCUAAAGCGCGGUGUCCAGCUCACUCCAAAAACAUUUUAGGUAACUUAAGAUAAAACGAGUCAAACAAUGAAGAAUAAACUAGCGAGCCGCACAUCGGCGUGAGGAGGAAAAUGUCGUUUUCUUAAGUUUCGAAUCGACACGAAAGGUAAAUAAAUAGUAAAGAGUUUAAUGAAAAUGUUUCGGUCUGUCCUGCUUCGCUCCUCCCAAUCCAAAAGCGGCACCUUCUUCUUCAAAACCGAGUCUCAUUCGCGCUCGAGACGCGGGAUUUCAAUCCGUCCCGCUCACGCGACCAGCGCGCGCUUAUUCCAUAUCUCCUGUCAAAGAGACUCUUGUGAUCCAGCAGAUGAAACCUAACCCUGCGCCAAAAAAUAAGCUUUCAAGCGGGACAUGCAGUAGUAUGCCGCUGUGAUGGAGUGAUUACAGAAACAGGCAAGACACAACAGGCACACAUGGGUGUGGGAAGAGAGCGAGAGUAGUUUGGGGUCUUGAUGCAAUAAUCCCACAUAAUAUUUCUAAGUACAAAGGGAGCACUAUUUCUUUUGCAGUGACAAACAUCAUGGAUACACACUGAAAGAGCCACUCUACCUUCUGGUCUGUAC